rnacentral:rRNA from 1 species
UGGGGAAUAUUGCACAAUGGAGGGAACUCUGAUGCAGCGACGCCGCGUGAGUGAUGAAGGACUUCGUUUCGUAAAACUCUGUUCUAUGGGAAGAAAAGGACUGUACCAUAGGAGAAAGCUCCGGCUAAAUACGUGCCAGCAGCCGCGGUAAUACGUAUGGAGCGAGCGUUGUCCGGAAUUAUUGGGCGUAAAGGGUGCGCAGGCGGCUUUACAAGUUGGAUGUGAAAUAUUGUGGCUCAACCACAAACGUGCAUCCAAAACUGCAAAGCUUGAGUUAAGGAGAGGUAAGUGGAAUUCCUGGUGUAGCGGUGGAAUGCGUGGAUAUCAGGAGGAAUACCGGUGGCGAAGGCGACUUACUGGACAUAAACUGACGCUCAGGCACGAAAGCGUGGGGAGCAAACAGG